UCAGUAACUGAAAGUACAAAAAAGUAAGGUCAGUAGACUGAAAAGAGUUACAAAUGCUGAUAUGGGUCAAUGGUGAGUAAUUAAUUGACCCUUUCUAUUAUAAACACACUUUCAAUGCACUUAGACUAACACAAUCUUCAGUUAAAUGACAAAUAUGAGUCAUUAUGACUUUUAUUGCUGAAUUUGUAGGUAAUAUACAAUGUGAAACCCCAUUAAAUUUAGUGACCCACUUUCUUUUAAUUUGUUUAUUUCCUGUUUUUUUCUUCAAUAUAUGUUAUUUUUCUAAGUAUAUCGGCAUUUCUUAAUCAAGUAUUCGUCUAGUAUCAAGUUGUUAAUUGCUUUAAUUUACCGCUAAUCCGCUUGAGAUGUUUAUUUAGAAAAAACGAAAGUGAAAGUAAUUUUUGCUUGUCAUGUAACAACAAGAACACCGAUCGAUUGCGAUUUUAAGCGUCCAGAAGACGCAAAUUAUUUAAAACAUUGCGUGAACGGAUGUAUUUGUACGUAUAGAAAAACGUAGAUAUAAUAUACUCACUGAGAAAUUCUCAAAUAGUCAAUUAAUUCAGUAGAAAUGAGUUUUCCAUGCGUUUUCGGAUAAACCGGAAGUGAAUAACGAAUGACGUAAUUCAUUAUGGCAUAGGCUGUGCGCACCUGCUGAGGCUAUCGGUGGGUGAUUUUAAGUGUAAAUCGGCAGCCUGCGGCAAAACGGGGGGCAGAGUUUGUGAUUUAGUCGUAAAGAAUAAUGCUGUUAGAUCAGUUAUGUACUAUGCCAUGCCAUGCCGAAUGUGCCGAUCAGAAGUAAAAACUAUUUGAAAAUUUCCCUUUUUUUAAUUGCUUGUUUUUAAGAAGGAAUCGUUUUAAAAACAACAAAAACAAUAGUUUCCCCAAUUGAGGCCCCUCUUAACUUUGGAAAACACCCUUCGUCAUCAAGUUAUAUUCUUAGAAUGCGACAAAAAAUAAACCAUAUUUAGCGCAUGUGAUCUUCCACUUUUGUCAAAAUGGCGGACGUAAAGUGAUGUUUAACUCGGGCGUCUGCAAUUCUUAACCGACUUAAAUUGAUGGACGGUUGAUGGAUAGCUGACAUAUAUAUCUACAAUGGAUCAUGAAGAACAGAUAGCAUUAACGAGUCUCCAAUUGAGUAUGACCAUACAGUCUGAACCACCGAUGUCUACAACCAUUGUUCCUGUCCCCCCCACCCCAGCUGCCCCGGACCUAGUUGAAGAGCUGCCAGAACCUGACUUACCAGUGCCUUUCCUUCAUUGAGUACAGAAAUAGCUUACAUACAAUUAACAAUGGUCAUUCAAGAAACUGUAUUGGACCCAGUAGAAUCUUGCGCCGUUACAACCAAGCAUUGGCACUAUAUUGACCUACCUAGAGAGCUCAACCCAACUGGCAAAAAAAGGCUACAUGUACUUCUGUUACCAGAGACAAUACGCACAUAUUUGCAAGGCCUAUCACUCUAACUUAAAAAGUUGUGACCCUUGAUUGACUGAUAAAACCACAACAAUAGACUCUUCUGUGUGUAGUGUUUCUGUGUCCAUGAAUGUAAACCUCGCAAAUAGUUCUACAAUAAUAAUCAAAUCACAUGUUGGCAUGGCUGCUUGCCUUGACAUGUUAGAACAAGUCAUUUUGAGUGAGCUGUCAUCGAAACGAACGAUUGAAAGUAGUUGGAAAUAGAUACAGAUGGGAGUGUAUACCUUGGUUCCUUCCCAUCGAGAACCUGUUGAAGGUAUGCCUUAUAUCAUAAAAUAAAUAUGCAUACGGAUUGGGAUCAUUGUGAUGCAAGAAACGGAGCUUAAGACACGUUAAAAAACAGCUUUUUAUAGUGCAAAGCAGUUUCAGUGCUUCACAUUACAGUGUGUGUGUGUGUGUGGGGGGGGUACUUUUAUUAUACAUUCAGACGUUGCAAGUGCUACACUCCCAAUAUCUGUGAAAUAAUCCAUCUCCCAUAAAUAAUGCAUUUAUUCAUUUAUAUCAGAAUUUUUCAUUUACCAUGAAAUGAAACUGCGUUGUUUGUUGCUGUCGAUAAAAAUCUAUGCAAUAUCAUGUAGAAUAUGUGCCAUAAUAAUAAUGCAAGAAGGUUAUAAGUGUUUUAGUCAUAGCCUUAAAUAUUUUGUAUGUGACAACAACUUGAGGUUAUCGUCCAAGGUUAUUCAAAAUAUGCCCCUGGCUAGGGACUGGCCCCUGGGCUCACUGAUUUUUCAAAAAUAAUAUUAUUACCUAAUAAAAACUGGAUCUCGCCACAUUUAAAUACUCAUUUUGUUUAAAAUAAUAUAUAUUUGGGAAAACAUUGAUAAACUCUUAGCAAAAUAAAGUAAAAUGAUAGAGCUAAAAAGCCUCCCUUACCAGUUGGGUCAAAAGUGCCUUAUAUGUUAAAUUGUUUAACCUAUUAAAUUUUUGUAGUUCACAUAGACAAUAAUAAAAUGCUGAACAUUUGAUAUGUAGUAAUAAUAAUUUUCAAUGUUUAUUAGUUUAUUGUAAAUAUGUUGAUGUAUGUUAACCUAAAUUUAACAAAAUUGUGAUACUAACAUCUGUGAUAACAAUAAUUAUAUUUUAGUUAUUUCUAAAGUGUAUAUGCUGUUGUUUUAAAGAGUUUUGGAGUUUGUUUAAUUCGCAGCUUAUGACUUAUAUAAAUUGUAUAUACUCACUUUAUCAUGGUGAUUGAUGCAAUAUUUGUUUGCUUGUUGUAUUUUUCAAUGGUUUAUACUUUGUGAUAUGUGGCUGUGUUUGAACAAAAUACACGUUCUUUCAGGAACUGUUUAAGAAGAAGACUGUUUUGGGGGGCACACUUGGAGACAUAAGAAACAUAAGCCCUUCUCCCCAAAAUUUGCAAAAGAAAUGUCUCUGAAAAUGAUUUUAAGGAGCAUAUAAUUUUAUACAUAAUUAUUAAAAAAAAACCUAUAUUUUUUAAUGUAUGUGAUGACACACAUGUCAUAUAGAACAUUUAUGUAUUUUGCUUCAAAGUUAAUGCAUUUACAGUUAUGGCACCAUAGAACUUGGUUACAUUAACUACCAAAUGUUAACACAGUUAUGGCCCCUUUUCAAUUUAGAGUUUGCCAAAAAUAUGGUGUCCAGACAAUAAUUCGUGAAAGGGUGGUGAUGUUUGAAAAGGAUCAUUAUUAUUGUAUGAAUGGUACUCUGUGUGUUAUGCAAUAGGUGAAGUAUUAUUUUUUAGUUGAGCAUUUCAGAAUGGUUUUCUUCUGAUCCAGUAUAGAAUGUUGUUGUAGUGACAUAUCAGCCCAACAUUUACAAGAAUUUAGCAGUAUUUUUUGUAUAAUUUUUUUUUCUGGUAGGGCAGCAGUGUCAUUGUUUGAUUUAAAGUAGCUAUAACAAAAACCUGGGCCAUUGUACCACCAUAUCCUACACUUGAGUGUUUGCCUGUUAAACAUUAUAUUUAUACAGAUAUACAAAUACAGAAAUGCAAAUUCAAUGUUUUUUAAUAAAAAUUAAUCUGUUUUACACACUCCGUGUACAGCAGUUGUACAGCUAUAAAAAACGCUUUUAAAAAGUUAAAAUAUGUUAAGAUUUCCAUUCAUGUACCAGUUAUAACAAUAUUUAAUUUAUAAUAAUAUUUAAAGCAUGUUGACUCAAAUUUAACAAACUGAGAAUAAGAUCUGUGAUUUAACAAGCAUUAUGUUCUAUUUAUUUUUAAUAAUCUGUUUUAAUUGAUUUAAUUUAAUUUAAUUGAUUGUAAUAUUACUGGCUACAGAAGUUUUCACAAAGUUAGUUACUAGGUGAAUUAAAUUCACUCACUUUAUCACGAUAAUUAAUGCAAUAUUUAUUUGCUUGUUGUGUUCUUACAUAGUUUAUUGUGUCGCCUGAAAAGUCGACAUAUAGGGGUUACUUGUCGGCGGCGUUGGUGGCGGCGGCGUCCGCGUCCCAUUUUCGCUUGUCCGGGUAUAUAUCUCCUAAACUAUUUGUGGUAUCAACUUGAAAUUUCAUAUGCAGAUAGAUCUAAUUGAGGGCAAGUGCAGUGCACAAGAACUGUUACUCUUGCUUCAAUAUUUUUAGAGUUAUUGCCCUUUGUUAUUUUUCAUGCUUAAAGUUUUGUCCGGGGCAUAUCUUGUAGAAUAUAAGAGUUAUCAACUUGAAACUUCAUAUGUAGAUAGAUCUCAUGGAGGGCAAGUGCAGUGCACAAUAACAGUAACUCUUGCUUUCUUAGUUUUAAAGUUAUUGCCCUUUGUUAAUUUUCAUGCUUAAAGUUUUGUCCGGGGCAUAUCUUGAAGAAUUUAAGAGGUAUCAAAUUGAAACUUCAUAGCUAGAUAGAUCUCAUUGAGGGCAAGUGCAGUACACAAGAACCGUUACUCUUGCUGCCAUAUUUUUAGAUUUAUUGCCCUUUGUUAAUUUUCUUGCUUAGGUUUUGUCCGUGGCAUAUCUCGUAAACUAUAGGAGGUAUCAACCUGAAACUUAUUCCGUAGGUAUAUCUGAUUGAGGGAAAGUGCAGUGCACAAAAACCGUAACUCUUGCAUCUAUAUGUUUAGAGUUAUUGCCCUUUGUUAUUUUUCAUGCUUAAAGUUUUGUCCGGGGCAUAUCUUGUAGAAUAUAAGAGUUAUCAACAUGAAACUUCAUAUGUAGAUAGAUCUCAUGAAGGGCAAGUGCAGUGCACAAUAACAGUAACUCUUGCUUUCUUAAUUAACAAAAGGCUAUAAAACUUUCAUGCUUAAAGUUUUGUCAGGGGCAUAUCUUGAAGAAUAUAAGAGGUAUCAACUUGAAACUUCAUAGCUAGAUAGAUCUCAUUGAGGGCAAGUGCAGUGCACAAGAACCGUUACUCUUGCUGCCAUAUUUUUAGAGUUAUUGCCCUUUGUUAAUUUUCUUGCUUAGGUUUUGUCCGUGGCAUAUCUCGUAAACUAUAGGAGGUAUCAACCUGAAACUUAUUCCGUAGGUAUAUCUGAUUGAGGGAAAGUGCAGUGCACAAAAACAGUAACUCUUGCAUCUAUAUGUUUAGAGUUAUUGCCCUUUGUUAAUUUUCAAGCUUAAAUUUUGUCUGUUGGUGAACUGGAGUCUUACUUCAGCCAUCAUAAACCAGUCUGGAUAGCAGUUUAGACAGAAGCAAGACAGAGAUGCUCAUUUCACACCUGAAAACGUAUUAAUCCAUUAUCUUCAAAUUAUUUCUCAAUGUCAUUGACUUCAGUAUUUAUUGUGCUCAUGUUUGCUGAUAUAACCAAAAUUAAUUGCUUGCUUAACGUUGUUACCUUCAGUUCAAAUGCCACCUACACUUGAAAGUUAAAUGGCAACAUCAUUGUCUAUAAAUGAAUAAAAUGCCAAUCUAACACACAGGCAUCUGAAUCAUUGUUUGUCAUUAAAAUAUUGUUUAAAACCAUUUUGGGUACAUACAAUGAGAUAAACAACACAUCUGAAGAUACAAAAGAAACUUUUUUGUAUAUCAAAGACACUAAAUAUCUUCAGAUGUGUUGUUUAUCUCAUUGUAUGUAUCCAAAAUGAUUUUAAACAAUAUUUUAGUGACAAACAAUGAUUCAGAUGCCUGUGAUCUAACAGCUAUAAUGUCGACAGUAAAUAAUUCGUCAGGCGACACAUCUGACUUGCGGAGUUCUAGUUCUUAGUAAAGAUUCUUUGUGAUAGGAUUCAGGGUUCGAAUUUAACUUUGAGGAGCACUAGCAAAAUUUUGCGAGUGCUUUUUGAAGCAUCUCGCAAAAUGAAAAAUCAACUUGCAAUUUUAUUAUUUGCUGUAUUCCCUUAUAAUAUUGUCUAACAGUAGAAUUUUACACCUAAGACAUAUUAUGAAUAUUAAAAAGUAUCAAUCUUGAGUGACUAGACUUCUAAAACUUUAAGAUUGCUUAUCCUAUUUAAGGGGUACGGAAAGACUCAUCAGAUGCUGGCCGCGUUUUGAUAACAAAGCUGUCCAAUAAUUUGACAUUGUUCACUUUGUAUAUUUACCCUCGCCAUCGGGUAAUACCCAUUCGGCAAGCCCGCUACAUAUUUUAUUCAGUCUAUAAGUAUUAAAAACAAUAUAAUGUGUAAAAACAAUAACGUUAUAAAUAUAGUUAUAAAUAUAAAAGAAAUAAAAGCAACAGUAAAUGUAGCAUGGAUGAUUUGGACCAUGAAAUAUAUUGAUUGACGCAGGCUAUUCACUUUGACAGUUGGGCGGAAAUAUAUUCAAUAGUUGAUGGGGUUUACAUAUAGUGCGCGAAAGCGCUAAAUUUAGCCAAUGAUUGAGCUAGGUGAUUACGUCAUUUGUAUUCACUAUGUACUAUGCACGCCUCGGAGCAUCCUGGAAAGAUUCGAGAUAAAACUCCGCCUUUUCCGUAUUUGUUCUAUUUUUGAAAACUUACUAGAGCGUAACUCCGUACUGUCUUCUUUAUACUUAGCUAAAGAACUUCAGCGAACACGUUAUAUAUUACCUUUUUGGAUGUGUUUUAAUGUGUUGUAAACAUCAAAAAAAAAAAAUAUCAAAAUUAAAGUUAUGGAAGCCAGAACUACUUUAUACUGGUUGUUUAAACAUGCCACUUUUAGGCUGUUUACACACGACUAUGUAGCGGAGUUACGUUCGUGUUUAUUCUACUUUCCUAAAGUCUAAAUUCGAACCCUGGGAUUGAUAUUUGAUAUGUGGAUGGCAAGUUUAAACAAAAUACACAGAUAUGUUACUGUUUCAGUUACUGUUUUAGGAGUAGUCAGUAGUUUGUAGCAGGGGUGGGUCCAUGAUUUGACGUUAAGAAGGAAUGCACUUGGGGUCCGAGGCUACUUACAGGGCUUCUUAGUUCAAGAUUGGGGGCUUUUAACUUCAGCAUAUUGUACAGUUGUAAAUUUUGAGGUUUUUUUGUAAAAAUUCUGCUUACAUUGUAAUAAAACAAAUCUAUGUAAAAAAAAAUUUGGCAGUCAUUUCUCCUUUCAUUGUGAUUAAAAAUCCAUGUAUAUUUUUUUAAAUGUUUGCAACAUUCAAAAAAUGUACCUAACAUUGUACUACAAAUAUUAUAGGUAUUUUGUUAGACUUCAAAUAAUAUGCAUAUAGUAUGAUGAUGUAUUAACGCUUGUAUAUAUAUACAAUAUUCUUCAUACCAUAUUAUGAUCUCUAAAUUUUACCUUUUCUGACCAUUUACAUUGUAAAUAUGAUAAUAUUCAUGAUGAUGAAUGGAUUUCCCUUUGUGGCAGAUCCGUGGUCUAGUGGUAACACACUUGACUAUCAAUCCAGGAGUCGCAGGUUUGAUUCCUUGUCGCAUCACUAAAAAAAUACUAAUCGUCUUCUGGGAGGGACGUUAAAUGGAAGUCCCGUGUGACAGUGCUAUACUCUGGUGCACGUUUAAGAACCAGGGUAGUUAUAACCAGGGUUACAUUCUGUCUCUGCACUAUGCUCCAACAACCUAAAAUUACUAACACUCUUAGCGGAGCACUCGCUGAAUGGGCAAGGCCCAAGUGCGAGUAUAAAUGAGCUUACACACCACCAAGUGUGCCAAAUCUAUAGGAGAGUUAAAACUAAGAUACUGACGGUUGUUAAUGUAACCCUUUAACAAAUGUUGAUAUAUGCUCAAAUAUUGUUUUUGAAGUCAUAAUUUUGAAUAGCAUUUGUCACAUGAUUCAACAAAAGGCUUAAUGGUUAAAUUAUUCCUUUGAUUAUGUAUGAGUUCUUGUGGGCGAGCGGUUUUGGUAUCAUUUUUCUAAUUUUUUAUUGACUGGCUUGGCUCCCCACCACAACAAGUUUUUUCAUACUUAAAUUGUAUUUUGUCCGUAAUUUCGGAUCAAAGAGUAAAAUGAUUAUAAUAUUAGUGUUUUCAAAUGCAUUACUGACAACAAGAAUUGGGUCCAAAAACAUGAGUGAGUCCCUUUAAAUUGAUGAAUUGCUUUAACACUAACCAUAUAUUGUAUUCCAUGUACAUGUAUACGACUUUGUUGUAAAAGAUAUAUUGCAAAUGUAUGGUUAUUCUGAUGUGUGAACAUAUAAAGACUGUGUUGUUAACGUGCCAUAUUUUUGCAAGGUCAAAUCUGUACUUUAAGCAAUGGUAUGAGGGAGUCCGGUCUUCGGAAUCAUUUACACUAUUUAGUACAUUAAACCAAAUUUUGUUAUAUCUUUUUUCUCCUUAUAUUAGACCGUAUUAAAAUCAACAAGAAAUAUGUUAACUAAGAUUAUCGUCACAUAAAUUAUUUGUGGAACACGGACGGUAAUCUAAUAUUCCAAGAAAUGAUUAAAAAAUGUGAUAAUUGUGGGUCCAAUGACAUUGACGAAAAAAACUUUGUUUUGAUUUGCUCUAAAUACAAGGGAACACUAUAUUCAAAUGUUUUAUUGGAGAAGAGCCAGUAUGCUUGAAUUUGUAAAUUUACUAAACACAAUGAAAAAGCCAUUGUUACAUAAAUUAACGAUUUAUAUUAUUAAGACAAAAAAUAAGAAAUUCUGUUUUUAACAUUCCUGUGUUAUAUUAUAUAAUUGUUAAUUAUACACUCUCAUGUAAAACCUGUAUUUGUUUAAAUAUGAUCUUUUGUACUUUAACAUAUGUUUCUGAAUUGUAUGCCAUUUAUGUAUACAUUAGUAAAUAUUUUGAAUUUUGAUACUAAGCUAUACAUACUAACAUCAAAAUAAACUUAAAAUUUA